AGGAGGAACAGCCCUAGUGGCGGGGCCAGCUCUGCAGCCCUGGAUUCAGCUCCGGCAGGAACUGCGUCUGCAGGGCCUGGAGGCUCCGGGGCGGG
rnacentral:pre_miRNA from 1 species